rnacentral:rRNA from 1 species
AUUGAACGCUGGCGGCAUGCUUUACACAUGCAAGUCGAACGGCAGCGCGGGCUUCGGCCUGGCGGCGAGUGGCGAACGGGUGAGUAAUACAUCGGAACGUGCCCAGUAGUGGGGGAUAGCUCGGCGAAAGCCGGAUUAAUACCGCAUACGACCUGAGGGUGAAAGCGGGGGAUCUUCGAACCUCGCGCUAUUGGAGCGGCCGAUGGCAGAUUAGCUAGUUGGUGGGGUAAAGGCCUACCAAGGCGACGAUCUGUAGCUGGUCUGAGAGGACGACCAGCCACACUGGGACUGAGACACGGCCCAGACUCCUACGGGAGGCAGCAGUGGAGAAUUUUGGACAAUGGGCGAAAGCCUGAUCCAGCAAUGCCGCGUGUGUGAUGAAGGCCUUCGGGUUGUAAAGCACUUUUGGCGGGAACGAAAAGGACUGUGCCAAUACCACGGUUCGAUGACGGUACCCGCAGAAUAAGCACCGGCUAACUACGUG